rnacentral:misc_RNA from 1 species
CCACCCCACCUCCUCUCCACAAGUUCUGCAUGGUGCGGAGCUGAGAGAUAGCGCUUCUCAGCAGUUUUGAGAACCUGAAAUCCCUUUGAGGACUCUGGAAUGGUCUUCUUUGCCCUAGUGACGAAAGCUGGAGGAAGGAUAUCAUCUACCACAGCACGGGCUAUGAAUAAAGCAAGGAUGUCAACAGCAUCUAAUAUGUCUACUGCAAGAUCAUCAGCAGACUCAAGAAGUAUGACAAAUCCAUCCCUAAUUUGGGAUGGGCUGAUCACAUCAGCAUAUAAUGCAGAUAGCAGAACAGAAGCCAUUUCCUUCU